UCAAAAUAUGUACUCAUUAGCGCACUUCAAGCAGUAGCCCAAACAAUUCCAUACAAAGUUCCCCUAGCAAUCAUCCUCCUGUUAGUUUUCUUGAUAAGUGGAUCAUUUGCUUUAUCAACCCUCAUCACUACACAAAGGUUCACAUGACUAACCCUACCAUUAUGGCCUCUAGCUGUAACAUGAUUUAUUUCAACAUUAGCAGAAACUAACCAAGCACCGUUCCACUUAAGAGAGGGUGAAUCAGAAUUAAUCUUGGGCUCCAAUGCUGAAUAUGCUGCAGGCCCA
rnacentral:lncRNA from 1 species